rnacentral:lncRNA from 1 species
UAACCAGUUAUACUUCACAGAUUUUUAAAGUUCCUAUAGUCAUUUGUCAUCAUCGACAACCACCUAUUUUCAAAGGUGAGAUUUCUCAAAUUUCAUAUUCUCAGAAAUCCUCAUCCACAACUUUCUACACAUCAUCAAGGCAUAGAAAGUUUUUUUCAUAACAUAUAAAUUUUCUACGUGUCUUUUAUCCAUUAUAUUUUUAAAUACUUUUUUCAUAUUUGCUGUAGAUGGAAGGACAAAAUGUUACAAAAUAUGAAAAAGAAGCUACACAAGAUGAUGAUAAUUUUGGCAAUAUUUCAGAAAAGAAGAUAAAUCAAACUUCACUAUAUCAAGACUGGAUGGAAGUUAAUAAUAAGAACAAAGCUAAGAGUCAACAUGAAAAUAAUUCCAGUUCAAGAGAAUUGUUUUAUCUGAAUCUUCUUUUAAAUAAGAUCAAAGGACCGAGAAGCUACGAGAAUAUACGAACUGUUAAUGGUUUUUUGUAUCCUACCUUCGAAGAGGCCUAUAAUGCUCUUCUUAUCCCUUAUAUACUAAAGCGCAAGUCGCAUCACCAAUCUAAAGCUGACAUGUGGAAAAUUUAUUUUAAAAAAAAAUUAAUAAAAUACAGAAAAAUAAAACACGUUACCAAAACAAAAUAUGGAAUUUUAAAAAUAAGACAAAUAACCAACCUUUUACGAUUAUUGGUAAAGAAUUUUUUUAUGAAUUUUUUUUUUGCAUCUCCUAUUUUCCUGGAGUCUAAAUAUAAACUAACAAUUUUCUUAUUUUUUUCAUGGGCAAUAAAACUCUGACACAUGGUAUAUAUUUAAAAUUUCAAAUUAAAAAUACAAAUUCACAAAAAGCUUUGUAACACAACCGUUGUUUUUUAAAAUAACUUAUUUCUAUUAUUUUUACAUAUAUAUCAAGAUAAAAUAAAAAUCAAUAAUAUCUCUCCCACUACUUCAUAAUCUCAAAAUCUGAAACCGUUAUGACUUUCUCUUUACAAUAUUUGACUCACUAUGCUAUCAGUUCUUCUCAGUCUGCAAUUGCUCCACUGACUUUUUUUAUCGGAGUUUGAAGAAAAUUCAAUCUCCAACAAGACAGCUGGCCAAGCAGUGGCAGCAAUACUCUUAAAAGAACAUCUUGGAAAGUUGGCAGAUGAAGUUAAAAUUCAGGUUAGUAAAACUAAUUAAAUACGCUCAAACUGUUCAAUUCUUAAAUCAUAAUUUAUGUCAUGUUGAUUUUUUUUUUCAUGAACCUUUUUUCUUUUAUAACCUACUUAUAAUUUUUUUUUUCUUUUUCUUAAUCCUCAUCCACAACUUUCUACACAUCAUCAAGGCAUAGAAAGUUUUUUUCAUAACAUAUAAAUUUUCUACGUGUCUUUUAUCCAUUAUAUUUUUAAAUACUUUUUUCAUAUUUGCUGUAGAUGGAAGGACAAAAUGUUACAAAAUAUGAAAAAGAAGCUACACAAGAUGAUGAUAAUUUUGACAAUAUUUCAGAAAAGAAGAUAAAUCAAACUUCACUAUAUCAAGACUGGAUGGAAGUUAAUAAUAAGAACAAAGCUAAGAGUCAACAUGAAAAUAAUUCCAGUUCAAGAGAAUUGUUUUAUCUGAAUCUUCUUUUAAAUAAGAUCAAAGGACCGAGAAGCUACGAGAAUAUACGAACUGUUAAUGGUUUUUUGUAUCCUACCUUCGAAGAGGCCUAUAAUGCUCUUCUUAUCCCUUAUAUACUAAAGCGCAAGUCGCAUCACCAAUCUAAAGCUGACAUGUGGAAAAUUUAUUUAAAAAAAAAAUUAAUAAAAUACAGAAAAAUAAAACAUGUUACCAAAACAAA